GAAAUGCGAUAAGUAAUGUGAAUUGCAGAAUUCCGUGAAUCAUCGAAUCUUUGAACGCACAUUGCGCCCGCUAGUAUUCUGGCGGGCAUGCCUGUUCGAGCGUCAUUUCAACCAUCAAGCCCCCGGCUUGUGUUGGGGACCUGCGGCUGCCGCAGGCCCUGAAAUCCAGUGGCGGGCUCGCCGUAGCACCGAGCGUAGUAGCAUACUUCUCGCUCCGGUAGCAGCGGUGGGCGCCUGCCGUAAAACCCCCCUUAAAAUCAAGGUUGACCUCGGAUCAGGUAGGAAUACCCGCUGAACUUAA
rnacentral:misc_RNA from 1 species